GAUGAACGCUGGCGGCGUGCCUAAUACAUGCAAGUCGAGCGAACAGACGAGGAGCUUGCUCCUCUGACGUUAGCGGCGGACGGGUGAGUAACACGUGGAUAACCUACCUAUAAGACUGGUAUAACUUCGGGAAACCGGAGCUAAUACCGGAUAAUAUAUUGAACCGCAUGGUUCAAUAGUGAAAGACGGUUUUGCUGUCACUUAUAGAUGGAUCCGCGCCGCAUUAGCUAGUUGGUAAGGUAACGGCUUACCAAGGCAACGAUGCGUAGCCGACGUGAGAGGGUGAUCGGCCACACUGGAACUGAGCCACGGUCCAGACUACUACGGGACGCCGCAGUAGGGAAUCUUCCGCAAUGGGCGAAAGCCUGACGGAGCAACGCCGCGUGAGUGAUGAAGGUCUUCGGAUCGUAAAACUCUGUUAUUAGGGAAGAACAAAUGUGUAAGUAAAUAUGCACGUCUUGACGGUACCUAAUCAGAAAGCCACGGCUAACUACGUG
rnacentral:rRNA from 1 species